CUUUUCCUACGGGGCGCAGCAGUGGGGGAUAUUGCACAAUGGGGGGAACCCUGAUGCAGCGACGCCGCGUGGGUGAAGGAGUGCUUCGGCAUGUAAAGCCCUAUCGGCAGGGAAGAAGUAAGACGGUACCUGACUAAGAAGCCCCGGCUAACUACGUGCCUGCAGCCGCGGUAAUACGUAGGGGGCGAGCGUUAUCCGGAUUCACUGGGUGUAAAGGGAGCGUAGACGGCCAUGCAAGCCCGGGGUGAAAGCCCGGGGCCCAACCCCGGGACUGCCCUUGGAACUGCAUGGCUGGAG
rnacentral:rRNA from 1 species